CAGUAGCCACGGUAAUACGUAGGUGGCAAGCGUUGUCCGGAAUUAUUGGGCGUAAAGGGCUCGCAGGCGGUUUCUUAAGUCUGAUGUGAAAGCCCCCGGCUCAACCGGGGAGGGUCAUUGGAAACUGGGAAUCUUGAGUGCAGAAGAGGAGAGUGGAAUUCCACGUGUAGCGGUGAAAUGCGUAGAGAUGUGGAGGAACACCAGUGGCGAAGGCGACUCUCUGGUCUGUAACUGACGCUGAGGAGCGAAAGCGUGGGGAGCGAACAGGAUUAGAUACCCCGGUAGUCCCUGUCUCUUAUAC
rnacentral:rRNA from 1 species